AACAUGUGUGCUUUCAGUAUUGUACAACAAUAUAACGUAAAAUUGAAAGUAACUGGAAGUAAAAAUGAGUGAAAAAACAUUUAGAAUAGAAUUUUUGCAUUAACUUUUCACUCGUUCAUAAUACUAUUACUUACUACAUAGAAAAAUGCAAACAGUUCAUCCGGGAAAAGCGUAAAUUAGCGAAUGAACCACUAGGGGGAGACAGUUGUUUGUUUUUGAAUUGCUCCACCAGCGCUGUUUACUUUACACCAGUUCUCACUUUACAUAGCCUAGCGUAAUGCACAGUUUUAUCUUGAUUAAGACUUUUAGACUUUAUCUGAAUGUAAUUGGGGAAUUUUUAACCUUUCUAAAUACGAUAAAUCCUACAUUGGAGUACGCAUGCUGAGGGGUGGCCGUAGCCUUGUUUGAAAUCUCCAUAUUAUGUCAGUACCAUCCACAGUUCAUUAAUCUCAUUAAUAUUCUUUGUGAAUUAAACAAAGGGAGCUCUUUUGGAUUUGUCACAGCAGACUCUCCAUAGGGAGCUGUCCUACAAACAAUCAGAGACACGCUUGUUUGUUCCAUUUACAUGAGCUUGAGGAAAAACCUCUCUCAUUAUUCAUCGAGUACACAAAACUGUUUGAAAUAGCCGAUGACCGCAAAACAUUAUCUAAUGAGAGCAAAUGAGUGUGUGAAAGUGACUUUGUUUGAAAUGACGACCCCUUUACCACUCCUUGACCCGCUCUAUAUCACUAAACAAACACGUGCUGAUGAAGGACUCGCCCGUGGGUGAUGUGAUAUAUAAACCUAACAAUCCUGUUGAUUAUUCCACCUGAACUUUGACGCCUAACCUCGCAGACUUAAGCCUGUGGCUUUCAGGCUUCCAGACAUGACCUCAUCAUUUGGCCAUGCACCUGACCUUUGGCAUGUGGUCUCCUUCUGUUUACACAAUCAAACCUGAGGCCAGUUCUCUAGGCAUCAUGUGGAAGCCUCUGGAAGGAGAAAAUCUAAUGCAUUCCAGCGUAGAUCUGUUUCCAUGUGUGAGCAGCACAUCUGUUGAGACGUGAGGGAGAAACACCUCAUCCGUCCAAAUACAUUCCUUCCACUGGUGAAAUGUCGGGAGACAGAUGCACAUUUCAGACAUCAUAGGCCAAGCUUCAGUCAAUGAAAACAUCUUCUGUGAGUGAUGUAGUAAUAACUGUCAAAUUACUGUUCAAGCAUGACACACGCAGACAAACAAGACAGACCAAAAACCCAAAUGUGACACACAUCAACUAACACCCCACACCCAAACCAUCCGACUGCCACAACAUACACAAACCUCCAGGAAAUUGCUUUGGAUCGCACAGCCUUUCUGUGUGGCAUGCGGAGGUGGUCUAAGAAAUCCUCAGCCACUGACCUCAAACUCAUUAGCUGUGAUAGAGACAAUUUAACACGUUCCGUCUGGCAUAGCCGGUGUUAUCACGCUGACACAAAGAGCAGAGCCAGGCGGUACUCUCCUUUCAAAACAGUCUGCUUUCAGAUGGUAACAGUUCCUGGGUGGCAUAAGUUUCAGCAUGUAACGUGAGCCCUUCCAAAGCGCACAUACGCCUUAUCUCCAGCCUCCACAGGGCUAUGAAUUCCAGCGCCUGGAGGGCAGCUUUCUCUAAGCACUCAUGUGUGGCAGAGCUCAAGAAUGAAGCAUGGCUUUGUGCUGGCCCUGGGCCUGUGGACUAGUAGUCCAUGCACAGACAGCAUCCGCUUAAGUGCACACUGAAGACUUGUGCUGGAUUCUACAAUUUUUUACAAUUUUUCUACAAUCUUUUACAAUUUUAUUAAAAAGAAUAACAUUACAUAU